rnacentral:lncRNA from 1 species
CUUUGCCACCAUGGCCAGUGCAUCAACACCGUGGGCUCCUUCCGCUGCCACUGCGACCUCGGCUACACCCUGGACAUCACCGGGACCCUCUGCCAGGACCUGGACGAGUGCAGCCAGUCCCCCAAACCCUGCAAUUUCAUCUGCAAGAAUUCAAAGGGGAGUUUCCAGUGUUCCUGCCCCCGAGGGUACAUCCUGCAGGAAGAUGGCAAGACAUGCAAAGAUUUGGAUGAGUGUUCCACGAAGCAGCACAAUUGUCAGUUCCUUUGCGUGAACGUCAUUGGAGGCUUCAACUGCAAAUGCCCCCCGGGAUUCACACAGCACCAUUCUUCCUGCAUCGGUGAGUGA